CAGUAGCCACGGUAAGACAGAGGAUGCAAGCGUUAUCCGGAAUGAUUGGGUUUAAAGGGUGCGUAGGUGGCCUGUUAAGUCAGGGGUGAAAGACGGUAGCUUAACUAUCGCAGUGCCCUUGAUACUGAUGGGCUUGAAUGAACUAGAGGUAGGCGGAAUGUGACAAGUAGCGGUGAAAUGCAUAGAUAUGUCACAGAACACCAAUUGCGAAGGCAGCUUACUAUGGUUUUAUUGACACUGAGGCACGAAAGCGUGGGGAUCAAACAGGAUUAGAUACCCCGGUAGUCCCUGUCUCUUAUAC
rnacentral:rRNA from 1 species